UACGGGGGGGGCAAGCGUUAUCCGGAUUCACUGGGUUUAAAGGGUGCGUAGGAGGGCAGGGAAGUCCGUGGUGAAAUCCUAGAGCUUAACUCUAGAACUGCCGUGGAUACUCUCUGUCUUGAAUCCCGUGGAGAUGAGCGGAAUAUGUCAUGUAGCGGUGAAAUGCUUAGAUAUGACAUAGAACACCAAUUGCGAAGGCAGCUCGUUACACGAAGAUUGACUCUGAGGCACGAAAGCGUGGGGAUCAAACAGG
rnacentral:rRNA from 1 species